rnacentral:rRNA from 1 species
GACGAACGCUGGCGGCGUGCUUAACACAUGCAAGUCGAACGGAAAGGCCCUGCUUGCAGGGUACUCGAGUGGCGAACGGGUGAGUAACACGUGGGUGAUCUGCCCUGCACUUCGGGAUAAGCUUGGGAAACUGGGUCUAAUACCGGAUAGGAACCAUCUUUAGUGUGGUGGUUGGAAAGUUUUUUCGGUGUAGGAUGAGCUCGCGGCCUAUCAGCUUGUUGGUGGGGUAAUGGCCUACCAAGGCGGCGACGGGUAGCCGGCCUGAGAGGGUGUACGGCCACAUUGGGACUGAGAUACGGCCCAGACUCCUACGGGAGGCAGCAGUGGGGAAUAUUGCACAAGGGGCGCAAGCCUGAUGCAGCGACGCCGCGUGGGGGAUGAAGGCCUUCGGGUUGUAAACUCCUUUCGCUAGGGACGAAGCUUUUUGUGACGGUACCUAGAUAAGAAGCACCGGCUAACUACGUG